rnacentral:rRNA from 1 species
GAUGAACGCUGGCGGCGUGCUUAACACAUGCAGGUCGAACGAAGCACUUUACUUGAUCUUUUCGGAGUGAUUGUUUUGUGACUGAGUGGCGGACGGGAGAGUAACGCGUGGGUAACCUGCCUCACACAGGGGGAUAACAGUUGGAAACGGCUGCUAAUACCGCAUAAGCGCACAGUACCGCAUGGUACGGUGUGAAAAACCCCGGUGGUGUGAGAUGGACCCGCGUCUGAUUAGCUAGUUGGCAGGGUAACGGCCUACCAAGGCGACGAUCAGUAGCCGACCUGAGAGGGUGACCGGCCACAUUGGGACUGAGACACGGCCCAAACUCCUACGGGAGGCAGCAGUGGGGAAUAUUGCACAAUGGGGGAAACCCUGAUGCAGCGACGCCGCGUGAGCGAAGAAGUAUUUCGGUAUGUAAAGCUCUAUCAGCAGGGAAGAAGAAAUGACGGUACCUGACUAAGAAGCACCGGCUAAAUACGUGCCAGCCGCCGCGGUAAAAC